rnacentral:rRNA from 1 species
GAUGAACGCUGGCGGCGUGCCUAAUACAUGCAAGUCGAACGAACAGAUGAGGAGCUUGCUCCUCUGACGUUAGCGGCGCACGGGUGAGUCACGCGUGGAUAACCUCCCUAUAAGACUGGGAUAACUUCGGGAAACCGGAGCUAAUACCGGAUAAUAUAUGGAACCGCAUGGUUCAAUAGUGAAAGACGGUUUUGCUGUCAGUUAUAGAUGGAUCCGCGCGGCAUUAGCUAGUUGGUAAGGUAACGGCUUACCAAGGCAACGAUGCGUAGCCGACCGGGGAGAGGGGUCGGCCACCUGAGAGCGUAGCCGGCGACAUGGCUCCUGCGGGACGCCGCAGACGCCUAUGUGAGGCAGUGGGCGAAAGUCUUACGGAACAACGGCACGUCUGUUAUAGAGGCGUCGGGUGCGGAAAACUCGGUUACUAGGGAUGAACAGAUUUGGAAUGAGCUGUGGACUUCGUGACGGUACCGGAUCAAGAAGCCACGGCUAACUACGUG